AGCGGCGAGUGAGCGGCAAAAGCUCAAAUUUGAAAUCUGGCACUUUCAGUGUCCGAGUUGUAAUUUGAAGAAGGUAUCUUUGGGUCUGGCUCUUGUCUAUGUUUCUUGGAACAGAACGUCACAGAGGGUGAGAAUCCCGUGCGAUGAGAUGUCCCAGACCUAUGUAAAGUUCCUUCGAAGAGUCGAGUUGUUUGGGAAUGCAGCUCUAAGUGGGUGGUAAAUUCCAUCUAAAGCUAAAUAUUGGCGAGAGACCGAUAGCGAACAAGUACAGUGAUGGAAAGAUGAAAAGAACUUUGAAAAGAGAGUGAAAAAGUACGUGAAAUUGUUGAAAGGGAAGGGCUUGAGAUCAGACUUGGUAUUUUGUAUGUUACUCUCUCGGGGGUGGCCUCUACAGUUUACCGGGCCAGCAUCAGUUUGAGCGGUAGGAUAAGUGCAAAGAAAUGUGGCACUGCUUCGGUAGUGUGUUAUAGUCUUUGUCGAUACUGCCAGCUUAGACUGAGGACUGCGGCUUCGGCCUAGGAUGUUGGCAUAAUGAUCUUAAGUCGCCCGU
rnacentral:rRNA from 1 species